CUGCCUUAGACUACAGGGCCCGGGGUACUACUGGGAGUGAGGGGCAGAGCUGAGCAGCUAAGUGAAGCUGCAUAAUGUGGAAGGCAGGUGUUCUCUGGGGAAGAGGAGAGCUCUUGUUCCUACAGACUUGCAUCCUCAUGCCGCAGGGGAGGAGACAUGGAAGCAGAGAGAGCUGGGAAGCCGACAACAGCAGCAGGGAAGAGUUGGAGUGUAAGACUGAGUUGUAGAGGUGACGGUAUUCACCAGAGACAGAAUGGAGGAGAGAAAAGGGAGAUUUAUUGAAAUACGCUGCUGAGAGGAGCAGCAGGUAACUCAGGGAGCAGCAGAGGCAGAACUGGAGUGUCAAGGAGUGGCUCCUCUAAAUAUCCUCAGAAGAAACGCACCCAGAAGAAACAAGCUUGACCACUAAGCCAUUAUCAAGUGAUGAAGACAGGAGACAACACACUUGUGUCCACUGUAGAUGUCAAGGUCAACAACAGGCUGUGGCAUUCUAUGACAUUGAUAUGGCCAAGGUUAAGAUGUUACAGGGCAGGGUGAGUGUCUGGUAUCAUUGCCAAAUUUAACAACUAAGCCACCACUCCUUGCCUGGUAGGCAGGGUUGGGAGGCUUAAAUGGAUAAAGGAAGUGAAUGGGACUGCCCUGGAGAACUUGGACCAUUAAGCUGAUGAUCCCUUAUGCAAAUUCAGAUCAUCAGUCGGGACCCACAUGACACUAGCCACCCUAACCAAAUCCAUGAAUAUAGAGACCUGGGAUCCUCAUGCAGGUCCUCAUGCAGGCUGACCACUCCUGCCUGGCCUACUGCUUCCCUUAGCAGUGUAUUUCAAUAAAUCCACCUCUUCUAUUUUCCACUCUGUCUCUGGUGAAUUCGAUCACCCCUGUGUCUCUGGCCUAUACCCAGCUCUGUCCCAUGACAGUUCUGUCCCCAAUUUGCCCACUCUCAAUAGGUUUUGCCAUCUGCUGCAUCAAGACAAAAUAAACUCCAGUGUGUUAGACCUUCAAUGGAAAGGAACUUGAAAACAAUUAGUGUGCCAUACAGGAAAGGGGAAGAAUAUGUUUCCAAAUCUAGUACUCCAAGUUAACCAUCCCCUUGUGGGUAAAUGCCCAGCCAAACAGGGUUGGCCCAAAACAGGGCCACUGAGGCCCAAAAGCUUGGGUUCCUUCCAGCAGGAACCCAUAGAAAAGGGUCAGGAACAGCCAGACAAGUCUGGAAGGAAACGAGCAAAUUCAAAAUCAAACCUGCCAUUGUUAACCACCCCAUGGGUCUCUCACUCACAUCUGUUUCAACCAAUCCAAGGCCAAGAAGCAAGUGCAACUUCUUCACAUGUCUCUCUGCUCCAUGUGCCUCCUCCAGGUCUCUCCUGGCUCUCCACUCUUCUCCUUCACUUCCUCAGUCUCGUCUCCAGCUUCUUUUCUUCCCUGCUCAGCUCCAACCUCCCUUGGGUGGGGCAGGGAAA